AUUGAACGCUGGCGGCAUGCCUUACACAUGCAAGUCGAACGGCAGCACGGGAGCAAUCCUGGUGGCGAGUGGCGAACGGGUGAGUAAAGUAUCGGAACGUGCCCAGUCGUGGGGGAUAACGUAGCGAAAGUUACGCUAAUACCGCAUACGAUCUAUGGAUGAAAGCGGGGGAUCGCAAGACCUCGCGCGAUUGGAGCGGCCGAUAUCAGAUGAGGGAGUUGGUGGGGUAAAGGCUCACCAAGCCGACGAUCUGUAGCUGGUCUGAGAGGACGACCAGCCACACUGGGACUGAGACACGGCCCAGACUCCUACGGGAGGUAGCAGUGGGCAAUUUUGGACAAUGGGCGAAAGCCUGAUCCAGCCAUGCCGCGUGCAGGAUGAAGGCCUUCGGGUUGUAAACUGCUUUUGUACGGAAUGAAAAGGUUUGGCCUAAUAAGCUGAGCUCAUGACGGUACCGUAAGAAUAAGCACCGGCUAACUACGUGCCAGCCGCCGCGGUAA
rnacentral:rRNA from 1 species